ensembl:lncRNA
CAUGCUGCUUUUUGUUUUGAUGACGCAUGCGGCGGUGAGACACUGGUGGCUGCCGUUGCCAGAUUGAAAUCUCUAUCUGUCUGCAAUACAGCUCUCGGCCUCUAUGCAACUUCGGCGCUCUCACAUUUGCCAGGCAUAGACAGUAGAAGAAAGCACACGCAGCGAUUGACUGGUUGGGCAACCCUGGAUACAGGACUGUUAACGGGGUGUUUUUCGCCUGGAAGUCUCUAGAAAUCUGGCCGUUCACAGACACCAGAAUGAACGCGUUCACAGUAUCGUUCACCAGGCAGUAAUACAGAUGGUGAUGGUGUGAGCUACGCCACAGUGCAGCUGAUUGCAGGUCAGAGAGACACACAGCGGAGAGAGACACACAAACUAUACACACACACUCUCUAUUCCCCAAUCCGCUACCAGGACAAGAGUUGAAAGCAGUUCACAUGACCCUCUGUGCUGAGGUACUCACCUGAUUGGGGGAUGAUGAUGAUGAUGGUGGUGAUGAUAACUAUAAUAAGAGUGAUGAUGAUCAUGAUAAUCAAGAUGAUGAUUUAAUAAUGAAGGUGGUAGCAGAUGAUGAUGAUCAUGAUGUUGGUGAUGAUGAUGGUGGUGGUGAUGACUAUAAUGAUGAUGAUGUUGAUGAUGAUGAUGACUAUAAUGAUGGUGAUGAUGAUGAUGAUGACUAUAAUGAUGAUGAUGAUGGUGAUGAUGAUGAUGACUAUAAUAAGGAUGAUGAUGAUAAUCAAGAUGAUGAUUUAAUAGUAAUUAAAAGGAGGAAGGUGGUAGCAGAUGAUGAUGAUGAUGAUGUUUACUAUAAUAAUGAUGAUGACGAUCAUCUAACAUGAUUUCUAACAUACAAUAUACACACACAUAAAAAACAUAUAUUUUUGUUUUCCACGGAUAUACUGCAUGUGUGAAUAUAUUAUUUAAUAUAAUAUAAUAUAAAUAAUUAUUCAUUUAUGCAUAUGUGUGCAUUUGCUUCAUACCUGUUCACAAUCGACUUGCCAACAAAGCAACAAACAAACACACAAACACAAACACACACACACACACACACACACACGCACACACACUCUCUACAGUCUUAUUUAUAUUUGUGUGUACCUCUGCCAAUACACACACACUCACAGAUGCACAGCAGACAUACACACAUGCACACACACUCACUCCCUUAUACAAACCCAAAUCAGAGAAAGUUGGGACGGUAUGUUAAAUUAAAACUGAAAACAGUGAUUUGUAAAUUCUCUUUGACCUGUAUUACAUUGAAAACAAUACAACAGCACAU